rnacentral:rRNA from 1 species
AGCGAACGCUGACGGCAGGCCUAACACAUGCAAGUCGAGCGAAGUCUUCGGACUUAGCGGCGGACGGGUGAGUAACGCGUGGGAACGUGCCCUUUGGUUCGGAAUAGCCCCGGGAAACUGGGAGUAAUACCGGAUGAGCUCUACGGAGGAAAGAUUUAUCGCCAAAGGAUCGGCCCGCGUUGGAUUAGGUAGUUGGUGGGGUAAUGGCCUACCAAGCCGACGAUCCAUAGCUGGUUUGAGAGGAUGAUCAGCCACACUGGGACUGAGACACGGCCCAGACUCCUACGGGAGGCAGCAGUGGGGAAUCUUAGACAAUGGGGGAAACCCUGAUCUAGCCAUGCCGCGUGAUCGAUGAAGGCCUUAGGGUUGUAAAGAUCUUUCAGUGGGGAAGAUAAUGACUGUACCCACAGAAGAAGCCCCGGCUAACUCCGUGCCAGCCGCCGCGGUAACAC